rnacentral:lncRNA from 1 species
AUGGCGAACAUUAUCCGAGUCUGUCAAUUGUCAACUCAACACUUUGUUUGGGUUUUAUUUCACUAGACGAAGUUGUUUUUAUUAUUAACUGAUCGAGGAGAUGGUGUUCUGUUGGAUGAGUGGAUUCCACCUCUCUUCUGUCUUGCCAAAGGUUUGGUGGCCUUUUUGGACCCCCUUUUCCUAUCCCGCCUUGGUUCAACUUCUCAGCGGAUGGAGCAACCUGUAGAUGGGUGCCUGGCCGUACUUCCCAGGCUUAAAGGUUCCCACUUUCGAAAUGGCACACUACAUUGAGCAAGGUGAGCUUGACUAACUUUAGAUAACAAUCAGUUGUGUUUUUUUUUCUUCCCGUCAGGCAUUUAUUCCUUUCCCCAUUUCUGGAAAACCAGUCACAUUCCAAUCUGAACGCUGCCAAUUUCCAAUGCUGUUUUCCUAUUGUAAAGCCAGCUAGUGGGCAACGAUUCCUUCCCAGUAAUGUUUUCAUAGCAGGAACGGCAGGUGCUGCAUACCUCCCCAGGUCCCCAUUUGAGUUGUUGUGUGUUUCGACACACACACACCCAGCAUUUGAGAAAGCCACAGGCAGCCCCUCUAUUCCCACACAGCAGCAGCAGAAGACACACUUGUUGCCAUUGUUUUGCCUUUUUUUCACCGUCACACAUUUUUUGAAAAACGGAAAAAGACGGUCGUGAAUUGACGCAGCGGUUACGAAAGGAAAAACACACCUUAAUGACUCAAGUUUAAAAGGGCGUGAUGUGAUGGGGAGGAGGAUAAAGGAGUGGUGUGGGGGGGACAAAAGAAAUGGUAAAUGUGUCAUUUUUGGGGCGUUUGUUGUACAACACACGCGGGCACAGAAGAAACUGUACGGGACGCGCAUGUCCGUUUUUUGUAUGGAACAAAAAAUCCAGCACCGAAAUGUUGGUGGGGGGGAGGAAGAAGCA